UACGUAGGGCGCAAGCGUUGUCCGGAAUUAUUGGGCGUAAAGAGCUCGUAGGCGGUUUGUCGCGUCUGCUGUGAAAGCCCGGGGCUCAACCCCGGGUCUGCAGUGGGUACGGGCAGACUAGAGUGCAGUAGGGGAGACUGGAAUUCCUGGUGUAGCGGUGAAAUGCGCAGAUAUCAGGAGGAGCACCGGCGGCGAAGGCGGGUCUCUGGGCCAUAACUGACGCUCAUGCACGAAAGCGUGGGGAGCAAACAGG
rnacentral:rRNA from 1 species